UUAACUUACUGCCUUCAUAUGCUUGCUGCUGUUAAUUAGCCGUAUUCAGUGGCCUAUAUAGAAAGUAAGGACUUGACAGAAGAAUUCCCAUGCCCGAGGGACUCUAGGACAGACUGGAAAUCCCCGAGUACUUGAACGGAAAAGCUCCUGCAGUGUAAGCCUUGACCUACAUCAAUAUUUGAUUGUUCAAUUUACUUAUUUGUUCACUCAUUUAUGCCGUUGCCAUAUUAUUUUCAGGUCUGCUCAUUUAAAGUUGGAUAUUUUGAUGUUGUGGUUCAUUAUUUUACUCUUAAGGCCUAAAUCUUUGGUGGCUAGAGUGACCACUGUUAGGACAGUUAGGAUCUGUUGCCUGGAUCUUUGGGACUGUACAACAAUUCAAAUAGUUACAUCAUGAACUCUAAGUUUCUAACUAUGCCAUUGUGAAAGCUGUGAAAGUAGAAGGCGAAGAAUGAAGUAAAAUAUGUUAUUGUAAAGCUGUUUUAGAUCGACCUUCAAACGGAUCUACUGGUUCCAUAACCUUGAGCUUAGCCAGAAGACUAAGAAAGAUAUGGUGAUAUGUUUUAGUAGUAUUGUCAAGAAAAUGAAUUUCUUUACCUUUGUUCUUUACCAGUGGAAACUUUUUAAUAUAAAGUGACAAUCGACUGUAAUGGAAUUUUUGUUCUGUA